CCUACGGGAGGCAGCAGUGGGGAAUAUUGGACAAUGGGCGAAAGCCUGAUCCAGCCAUGCCGCGUGUGUGAAGAAGGCCUUCGGGUUGUAAAGCACUUUCAGUGGGGAAGAAAGCCUUGGGGCUAAUACCCUCGAGGAAGGACAUCACCCACAGAAGAAGCACCGGCUAACUCCGUGCCAGCAGCCGCUGUAAUACGGAGGGUGCGAGCGUUAAUCGGAAUUACUGGGCGUAAAGCGCGCGUAGGCGGUCUGAUAAGCCGGUUGUGAAAGCCCCGGGCUCAACCUGGGAACGGCAUCCGGAACUGUCAGGCUAGAGUGCAGGAGAGGAAGGUAGAAUUCCCGGUGUAGCGGUGAAAUGCGUAGAGAUCGGGAGGAAUACCAGUGGCGAAGGCGGCCUUCUGGACUGACACUGACGCUGAGGUGCGAAAGCGUGGGUAGCAAACAGGAUUAGAUACCCCGGUAGUC
rnacentral:rRNA from 1 species